GUACUUCCCUGGUAGGGAAUAUAUCAUAACCAUGAAGGUGACUUCCCAGGGUGAGGCUAGUACAUUGCACUCUGGAUGUGCUGACCCUUGUGAUUUACCCAAAUGUGGGAAACUCAAAGGGCAUAAUUUGUAGUGGGAAACUGCACUUGCACUUAUAAG